rnacentral:rRNA from 1 species
UUGCCUCGGCGGGGUCACGCCCCGGGUGCGUAAAAGCCCCGGAACCAGGCGCCCGCCGGAGGAACCAACCAAACUCUUUCUGUAGUCCCCUCGCGGACGUAUUUCUUACAGCUCUGAGCAAAAAUUCAAAAUGAAUCAAAACUUUCAACAACGGAUCUCUUGGUUCUGGCAUCGAUGAAGAACGCAGCGAAAUGCGAUAAGUAAUGUGAAUUGCAGAAUUCAGUGAAUCAUCGAAUCUUUGAACGCACAUUGCGCCCGCCAGUAUUCUGGCGGGCAUGCCUGUCCGAGCGUCAUUUCAACCCUCGAACCCCUCCGGGGGAUCGGCGUUGGGGAUCGGGACCCCUCACCGGGUGCCGGCCCUGAAAUACAGUGGCGGUCUCGCCGCAGCCUCUCCUGCGCAGUAGUUUGCACAACUCGCACCGGGAGCGCGGCGCGUCCACGUCCGUAAAACACCCAACUUCUGAAAUGUUGACCUCGGAUCAGGUAGGAAUACCCGCUGAACUUAAGCAUAUCAAUAAGCGGAGGGAAAGAAA